rnacentral:rRNA from 1 species
UACAGGGGGUGCAAACGUUGCUCGGAAUUAUUGGGCGUAAAGCGCACGUAGGCGGUUUGUUAUGUCGGAUGUGAAAGCCCUUGGCUCAACUGAGGAAGUGCAUCCGAAACUGGCAAGCUAGAGUAUGUAAGAGGGUCGCGGAAUUCCCGGUGUAGAGGUGAAAUUCGUAGAUAUCGGGAGGAACACCGGUGGCGAAGGCGGCGACCUGGGACAAUACUGACGCUGAGGUGCGAAAGCGUGGGGAGCGAUCCGG